rnacentral:tRNA from 1 species
GAGGGUAUAGCUCAGUGGUAGAGUGUGUGCUUAGCAUGCACGAGGUCCUGGCUUCAAUCCUCAGUACCUCCA